GCCGCGGUAAAACCAGCACCUCAAGUGGUCAGGAGGAUUAUUGGGCCUAAAGCAUCCGUAGCCUGUUCUAUAAGUUUGCGGUUAAAUCUAUACGCUUAACGUAUAGGCUGCCGUAAAUACUGUAGAACUAGGGAGUGGGAGAGGUAGACGGUACUCGAUAGGAAGGGGUAAAAUCCUUUGAUCUAUUGAUGACCACCUGUGGCGAAGGCGGUCUACCAGAACACGUUCGACGGUGAGGGAUGAAAGCUGGGGGAGCAAACCGGAUUAGAUACCCGGGUAGUCCCAGCUGUAAACGAUGCAGACUCGAUGAUGCAAUGGCAUAGAGCUAUUGCAGUAUCGCAGGGAAGCCGUUAAGUCUGCCGCCUGGGAAGUACGUACGCAAGUAUGAAACUUAAAGGAAUUGGCGGGGGAGCA
rnacentral:rRNA from 1 species